UGUGUGUGUGUGUGUCUCACGAUCACAAACUGAAAUGAAUAUUUCAGCUCUGUAUUUUAGAACCUAGUAGUAGGCAGGCCGUAGCAGGCAAACCAGAUGGUGGUGAUGUGCUAACUGCACGAGCGCGCACGUGCAUCCUACCCGUUUAUAAGCGAGCGUCUCGGACGGCCCGGCCUUUUCAACCAUCAUCAGGCCAAGAGGUUGGUAGCAGGGAAGUUGGAGUACAGAUUAAAAAGCUGUUGGAUGGAUGGAUGGAUGGAUGGAUGGAUUAUCCAGUUAUUGGUGAGUACUAACUUUUAAAGAUGAAUUAAGGUGAGUGUUUUUAGGUCAUUUUUAGUGUGUGGUUUGUAUAUGUAAAUUAUUUAGUUCACUACCGUACACGCAUUAUUGAUGUAGAUGAUGGUAUGGCAGUAUCCAGCUUGGCGUGUGUUUGGAGCCUCUGUAAGGGUACAGUAUGUCCCAAACCCUGUUCUGGAACGGGUAGCCGAUGAGAAGGCAAGUGCUGCUAUUGUGAGAAACGCCCAUUUCCUGUGUAUGCGGUAGUUACGUUCAGAGAUGUUUGCUUGGAUGUGAGCUCCUGGUGUUCGGGACGAAAUCCCGUUGUUUUGGAGAUAUUGCUCCUGCUGUUCGGAAUGAAUAUUGUUUUGUGUGUAUUUACGUCUGUGUGACGUGGUGAGGAGGCCAGUAUGCCUGGUUGUAUUGAUGUAUGUUCAUGUGUACUUGACAUGCAAGGCAUGUCUGUGUUUUGUUCUCUGUGCGCCCGAAUAUCAGUUCGUGCUAAUUCAUAGACCGUCACCAGUUUAAUGUUUCCCUGAAAGUUAGUUCAGUGCUCUUCUCAUGUGUUAUUCAGAAACGUUUUGAUGAAUUAAACAUUCAUGUCUUUUCUUGACUCGAGAGAACUUAUUACUCAAAUGGAAUACAUGACAUUCGUGGUUCAGUAGUCUGUAAAACAAAACCUAAUAUGGUUGGUUAGUAUUUACUUUCAUCACACAAAAAAUCCAAAACUUAGAAUUUCCAUUUGUAUACAUAUUUAUAAAUUAUGGGUCACGUAGGCGUAGCGGGUUCGUGUUCUUAAAUUGCCAUCUUCAGAAUUUGAUUUGCAGCUGCCAUAAUUACUUAUACAUAAUAUUUGCCUCGCACUUGCAGAUGCAGGCAUGGCACGUAUACCCGGCCAGGAAACAUGUUUCUAUAUUUCCAGGUAUCUCCAGAGCCGUCGCCAGUUCCAGUAAUCCAUAAACAUCCUGAAAAGUUUUGUAUGCAAUAAAAAAUUGGAAACUUUCACGUUUUGUUGUUUUUCCCCCCCACCAGUAAAGUUGACAGUGUUUAUUCACUUUAUGCAUACUAUUUUAAUAUUUACACUUUGUUUCUGUUAUCACAUUUAUUUAUGCAAAUUAGAAGUCUUUGUGUGUAUAUAUGACACUGCAUUUAUUCUGUAUAUAUAUAUAUAUAUAUAUAUAUAUAUAUAUAUUGUAUUCAUUUUGUUUUCUUGGAUGCUAAUUUUUUUUUUUUUUUUUUUUUAGAACUCGGCAUGAGUCUCACUUUUCAAUUUAUUUUGGUGUAUAAAACGUAAUCCUGAGGCAAGCAUCGGGGGUGGUAUGUUUCGUAAAUAGUUAUACUCUACCUGACCUCGAAUACAAAAUUGUAAAACCAAUUACUCAUCGAAGUGUUAAUUUUUUGUUUGUUUAGGUGACUGCCUCGCCAAAGGGGUAUAAUCAACUGUCAAUCCAGUUCCUACAGUCGCCUAUGCCAUCUAGUGUUGGAAAACACAUUUAUUUCCAUUGCCUAUGUAUAUUUCAUAAUAAACUAAUUUAUUUUGGAUUGUUUGUCUUUUUUCACUUAAUCUUGGUUAGCGAGACAAUACGAUCUGUUUUGAGGUGUUGCUGCUGGAAAAUAUGAACUAUUGUAUUCUUGGAACAAAUAUAACAUUCAUAUCACUUAAAAAGCAUUCAUAUUUCAACUUUUCAUCAAGAAAAAAACUGAAAACGUUUUAUAUUUUCAGGUGAAGAAAACUGCCACAUCAAAGAUAUGAUCAACUUUCAACAUCUCACCUGCCAAUCAAGCUCCUUUAAUCUGCAGCUGUGCCAUGUAGUGAUGGAAAAUUUAUUAAAUCCUUGUCUUUAUAUUUUAUGAUAUAUACUAAUUUAUUUCAGCCUUUUGUAUUAUUUCUCAUUUACUUACCUUGGCAAACGAGUGUACCUCGAGUAGGAAGCAGCACCCCUUACACCUGUUCUGUUCCAUUGGAAAAUAUUACAAAGGUAAAAUAGCAGUCAUACCACAAACCAUACAAGUAUUACUUGACAAAUAUUUUAUUGUUUCAGGUGAAGCAUUUCCACACCUCCAUAUUGGUUCUCACCCGUGCAACACCUGGGUCGCUAACGUUCCUGCUGCCCGAAGAUCAGAAGAUUAGAUCCAGAAGACCUAUUUAUUCCUUGUAUUGAUUUUGUAUAUUUGUGUGGUUCACAAGGGGUCCAGUUUGGGUGGACGGCGUCAUGCUUGAUUGAGUCAAGCAAGCUGCCUGACGGAGAAACGUGCUUGGUAACUGAUUGGUGUGGGCCGAUCAACCUUUUUGUUGUGUGCUGAAGUAGAUAGCUUACUUGGAAAUUUGUUUACCAUGUGAGGGCAAGUUAUCUAACAGAAAGGGGAAGGAAAAAUAAUUGGCAGAGGGAGAAAUAUGGUUUAACUGAACGAGGGCAGUUCAGCCCUGCGUUAUGUCCGGAGACAAAGUUAGGUCAUGUCGACGCUUCGAAGGAGGAAACUGUUGUUAUCCUGUGAACUGAGAUAAUAUAAGUUUGAACAAUGUGAAAUGGAAUUCAUUGGAAAUGUGGUGUCAAAUCUGAGGUGACUAUUAUCUAUAUUGCACAUUUGCCAUAUUGCUUUGCCUAAAUAGAUGUGUAUGAGUGCCUUGCCCAGUAACUGAGAAUUGUUAUAUACUUAUCUUUGUUUUAAUUAUUAAAUCUAGCUUUAAACUUCA